UAAGACCUCGCGCUAUUGGAUGAGCCAAAGUCGGAUUAGCUAGUUGGUGAGGUAAUGGCUCACCAAGGCGACAAUCCGUAGCUGGUCUGAGAGGACGACCAGCCACACCGGAACUGAGACACGGUCCGGACUCCUACGGGAGGCAGCAGUGGGGAAUAUUGGACAAUGGGGGAAACCCUGAUCCAGCGACGCCGCGUGUGUGAAGAAGGCCUGCGGGUUGUAAAGCACUUUUAGUGGGGACAAAAAGUCACGGGCUAACACCUUGUGAUCUUGAUUUAACUCACAGAAAAAGCACCGGCUAACUCUGUGCCAGCAGCCGCGGUAAUACAGAGGGUGCGAGCGUUAAUCGGAAUUACUGGGCGUAAAGCGCGCGUAGACGGUUUUGUAAGUCAGGUGUGAAAUCCCCGGGCUCAACCUGGGAACUG
rnacentral:rRNA from 1 species